CCUACGGGUGGCUGCAGUGGGGAAUAUUGCACAAUGGGCGCAAGCCUGAUGCAGCCAUGCCGCGUGUAUGAAGAAGGCCUUCGGGUUGUAAAGUACUUUCAGCGGGGAGGAAGGGAGUAAAGUUAAUACCUUUGCUCAUUGACGUUACCCGCAGAAGAAGCACCGGCUAACUCCGUGCCAGCAGCCGCGGUAAUACGGAGGGUGCAAGCGUUAAUCGGAAUUACUGGGCGUAAAGCGCACGCAGGCGGUUUGUUAAGUCAGAUGUGAAAUCCCCGGGCUCAGCCUGGGAACUGCAUCUGAUACUGGCAAGCUUGAGUCUCGUAGAGGGGGGUAGGAUGGGAGGGGUGGCGGUGAAAUGGGUAGAGAUCUGGAGGAAUACCGGUGGCGAAGGCGGCACCCUGGACGAAGACUGACGCUCAGGUGCGAAAGCGGGGGGAGCAAACAGGAUUAGAUACCACUGUAGU
rnacentral:rRNA from 1 species